GACGAACGCUGGCGGCGUGCUUAACACAUGCAAGUCGAACGGAAAGGCCCUGCUUUUGUGGGGUGCUCGAGUGGCGAACGGGUGAGUAACACGUGAGUAACCUGCCCUUGACUUUGGGAUAACUUCAGGAAACUGGGGCUAAUACCGGAUAGGAGCUCCUGCUGCAUGGUGGGGGUUGGAAAGUUUCGGCGGUUGGGGAUGGACUCGCGGCUUAUCAGCUUGUUGGUGGGGUAGUGGCUUACCAAGGCUUUGACGGGUAGCCGGCCUGAGAGGGUGACCGGCCACAUUGGGACUGAGAUAAGGCCCAGACUCCGACGGGAGGCAGCAGUGGGGAAUAUUGCACAAUGGGCGGAAGCCUGAUGCAGCAACGCCGCGUGCGGGAUGACGGCCUUCGGGUUGUAAACCGCUUUCGCCUGUGACGAAGCGUGAGUGACGGUAAUGGGUAAAGAAGCACCGGCUAACUACGUG
rnacentral:rRNA from 1 species